rnacentral:tRNA from 1 species
GGCGCCUUAGCCAAGUGGUAAGGCAGAGGACUGCAAAUCCUUUACCACCGGUUCAAAUCCGGUAGGCGCCU